UUCGUUGAUCUAUCCACUUUUAGUUUAUUAAAAACUUCAUAAAUAAAUAUAGAUUAUUUCGAGAGUUCAUAAAACUUGGAAGGGGAUGGACUGUGAAAGGGAGAUGGACGAAAUAAGGGACAGUGAAUUAAUCACGUGAACCGGGAUGAAUUGAUGGAGCAGUGUGCUUGUGGUUGAAGGUCCUGUAACAAAGAUGGAUUUGACAUCUGCUUUGUUUGUCUUUCCUUUUUGUUUUUUUAGUUUGUGUGUAUAGUCUGUUGGAGUUUAUAGUUCGAUUCUGUUUUGGCCUUGCAUGUUGGGUAGCAAGUAAGCUAUUAUUUCUGAUGUCUACCACCUGUUCGUUGUAAUGUCACAAUGACAUUUUCUGGCCUUUCCAGCUUUUUUAGUCUAUUUUUAUGUGCCAUCUUCACCAAUGUAUAUAUCUUUGGCCACGUUUGCCCCCUUUUGGUAAGUUUAUGGGCUGAGCAUGUGAAAUAAUACAAACUGCUUCUUGUGUUUAGUUUGAAA